GGGCCCGUAGCGUAGCCUGGAUAACGCGACAGCCUUCUAAGCUGUAGACCGGGGGUUCAAAUCCCUCCGGGCCCA
rnacentral:tRNA from 1 species